rnacentral:rRNA from 1 species
GGAAUAUUGGACAAUGGGCGAAAGCCUGAUCCAGCCAUGCCGCGUGUGUGAAGAAGGUCUUCGGAUUGUAAAGCACUUUAAGUUGGGAGGAAGGGCAGUAAAUUAAUACUUUGCUGUUUUGACGUUACCGACAGAAUAAGCACCGGCUAACUCUGUGCCAGCAGCCGCGGUAAUACAGAGGGUGCAAGCGUUAAUCGGAAUUACUGGGCGUAAAGCGCGCGUAGGUGGUUUGUUAAGUUGAAUGUGAAAUCCCCGGGCUCAACCUGGGAACUGCAUCCAAAACUGGCAAGCUAGAGUAGGGCAGAGGGUGGUGGAAUUUCCUGUGUAGCGGUGAAAUGCGUAGAUAUAGGAAGGAACACCAGUGGCGAAGGCGACCACCUGGGCUCAUACUGACACUGAGGUGCGAAAGCGUGGGGAGCAAACAGGAUUAGAUACCCGUG